rnacentral:rRNA from 1 species
GACGAACGCUGGCGGCGUGCUUAACACAUGCAAGUCGAACGGUGAAGCGCCUUCCUUUUUGGUGGGUGUGGAUGAGUGGUGAACGGGUGAGUAACACGUGAGUAACCUGCCCCCUUCUUCUGGAUAACCGCAUGAAAGUGUGGCUAAUACGGGAUAUUCUGGGUCUGUCGCAUGAUGGGUCUGGGAAAGAUAUUGUUUCGGUGGGGGAUGGGCUCGCGGCCUAUCAGCUUGUUGGUGGGGUGAUGGCCUACCAAGGCGGUGACGGGUAGCCGGCCUGAGAGGGUGGACGGUCACACUGGGACUGGGACACGGCCCAGACUCCUACGGGAGGCAGCAGUGGGGAAUAUUGCACAAUGGGCGCAAGCCUGAUGCAGCGACGCCGCGUGAGGGAUGGAGGCCUUCGGGUUGUGAACCUCUUUCGCCAGUGAAGCAGGCCUGCCUCGUUUGUGGGUGGGUUGACGGUAGCUGGAUAAGAAGCGCCGGCUAACUACGU